rnacentral:rRNA from 1 species
GAAGUAAAAAGUUCGUAACAAGGUCUCCGUUGGUGAACCAGCGGAGGGAUCAUUACCGAGUCUUCGUACUCAAAACAACCCUUCUGUGGACCUGAAUAAAACCGUUGCCUCGGCAGGCGGCCCUACCUACGGGCCAGAUAGUUCGGCUGCCUCCAGGGAGGAAACCCUCCCUGAGGUGCUGGCGCCAGCCGCUGGCCCCAAACCAAAACUCUAGUAACUUUUACCUUCUGAGUUUUAAUGCAAGAAAUAAGUCAAAACUUUCAACAACGGAUCUCUUGGCUCUGGCAUCGAUGAAGAACGCAGCGAAAUGCGAUAAGUAAUGUGAAUUGCAGAAUUCAGUGAAUCAUCGAAUCUUUGAACGCACAUUGCGCCCGCUGGUAUUCCGGCGGGCAUGCCCGUUCGAGCGUCAUUUUAAUUCCUUCCCAGAAGGGAGCUUCUGUUUCCACAGAGGUUUCCUCCAGGGGUGUUGGCUCCUGCCGCCGCCUAGGCGACCGGAGCCCAAAUGCAGUGGCGGACGCGCAAGCGGUCCCUAGCGCAGUAACAAAAACUUCGCUCAGGAGGCUCGCAGCAGUGGACCACAGCCUAACGCAAAAAGCUUUUUUUGCAACCAAAAACUUGACCUCGGAUUCGGGAGACUACCCGCUGA